GACGAACGCUGGCGGCGUGCUUAACACAUGCAAGUCGAACGGAAAGGCCCUGCUUUUGUGGGGUGCUCGAGUGGCGAACGGGUGAGUAACACGUGAGUAACCUGCCCUUGACUUUGGGAUAACUUCAGGAAACUGGGGCUAAUACCGGAUAGGAGCUCCUGCUGCAUGGUGGGGGUUGGAAAGUUUCGGCGGUUGGGGCUGGACUCGCGGCUUAUCAGCUUGUUGGUGGGGUAGUGGCUUACCAAGGCUUUGACGGGUAGCCGGCCUGAGAGGGUGACCGGCAACAUUGGGACUGAGCUACGGCCCAGACUCCUACGGGAGGCAGCAGUGGGGAAUAUUGCACAAUGGGCGGAAGCCUGAUGCAGCAACGCCGCGUGCGGGAUGACGGCCUUCGGGUUGUAAACCGCUUUCGCCUGUGACGAAGCGUGAGUGACGGUAAUGGGUAAAGAAGCACCGGCUAACUACGUG
rnacentral:rRNA from 1 species